CAGGAUGAACGCUAGCGACAGGCUUAACACAUGCAAGUCGAGGGGCAGCAUAGAAGUAGCAAUACUUGGUGGCGACCGGCGCACGGGUGAGUAACGCGUAUGCAACCUACCUAUCAGAGGGGAAUAACCCGGCGAAAGUCGGACUAAUACCGCAUAAAACAGGGGCACCGCAUGGUGAUAUUUGUUAAAGAAAUUCGCUGAUAGAUGGGCAUGCGUUCCAUUAGGUAGUUGGUGAGGUAACGGCUCACCAAGCCGACGAUGGAUAGGGGAACUGAGAGGUUGGUCCCCCACACUGGUACUGAGACACGGACCAGACUCCUACGGGAGGCAGCAGUGAGGAAUAUUGGUCAAUGGGCGGGAGCCUGAACCAGCCAAGUCGCCGUGAAGGAAGAAGGAUCUAUGGUUCGUAAACUUCUUUUGCAGGGGAAUAAAGUGCAGGACGUGUCCUGUUUUGUAUGUACCCUGAGAAUAAGGAUCGGCUAACUCCGUGCCAGCCGCCGC
rnacentral:rRNA from 1 species